rnacentral:rRNA from 1 species
CCUACGGGUGGCAGCAGUCGAGAAACAUUCACAAUGGGGGAAACCCUGAUGGUGCGACGCCGCGUGGGGGAAUGAAGGUCUUCGGAUUGUAAACCCCUGUCAUGUGGGAGCAAAUUAAAAAGAUAGUACCACAAGAGGAAGAGACGGCUAACUCUGUGCCAGCAGCCGCGGUAAUACAGAGGUCUCAAGCGUUGUUCGGAAUCACUGGGCGUAAAGCGUGCGUAGGCGGUUUCGUAAGUCGUGUGUGAAAGGCGCGGGCUCAACCCGCGGACGGCACAUGAUACUGCGAGACUAGAGUAGUGGAGGGGGAACCGGAAUUCUCGGUGUAGCAGUGAAAUGCGUAGAUAUCGAGAGGAACACUCGUGGCGAAGGCGGGUUCCUGGACAUUAACUGACGCUGAGGCACGAAGGCCAGGGGAGCGAAAGGGAUUAGAUACCCGGGUAGUC